ACACUGGAAACACACCUCAAGCCUCAAACCUUGAAUUUAAAUAAACUGUCUGCUGCAAUAUUUACAUUGCUAUAAUUGUUGUGCUCAGCAGAUUUUUCCAGCUGUCAUGGAAAACCGACACAAGCGAGUGAAUCCAGAGCAAGAUGCUUUGGUGCACAUUGUGGCUUGCAGAGACAAACCCUUUCUGGAAGAAAGGUUCAUAGACUCCUUUAAAGGAAAAGGUGUCUUUACAAACAAAACCAUUAAAGCAUCUGCCUUUGUUGUCGAGUAUCGUGGGAAGAUCUUUCCUCGCAAAGACGGGAGGCCUAAGGAGAGAAGCGGUGAUACUUUGAAUGGUUUCUUAUAUGAGUUUACAUGGAAUGGAGAACAGUGGUGGUAAGGUGUUUGUUUUGCAUUUUUAAAGUGUUUUGGACGGUUUAUAUACAGCUUUCUUUUAUUAAGGUGUCACUUUUGUAUGUGCAGCGUUGAUGCUUCCAAAGAGGACAAGACCCUUGGAAGGCUUGUGAAUGAUGAUCACAUAAGUCCAAACUGUGAAAUGAAGAAGAUUGUUUAUGAGGGGAAGCCACACUUGUGCCUCUUUGCAGUGGGAGAAAUACCUCAAGGCAAAGAGAUAACUUACAACUACGGCAGCUCCUAUUACUCGUGGCGUCCCAAGGAGUCAUGUGAUGGACCAACUACUUCAGACAAAAAAAUGUAUCCAAUUUCAUCAACACCCAAGAAAAGAAGAUUUGAAGACUCGGAUGAUGACAGCGAACUACCCGGUCAUGACAGUGACCGCUCUGCUGAUCUUGGAAGGUCAUCCAGGGACAGUUCGCCACAUUCUGAGUUAGAUUCUCAAGAGACAACGAAAAACUUCAGGAGAGUGUCAUCAAUUCAGGAGGAUGACACUUCGAGUUCUGAUGAUCAUGACUCGGACAAAGACAAGAGAUACAAAGAAGACAGAUACAAAGGAGACAGAUCCACUAAGGCUGGACUAAAAGGCGGAGGAACAUCUUUCACAAAGAAAAAUUACUGUUAUGUUUGCGGGAAAGGUUAUCACAAAAUUGCUCGGCAUCUUUCAAGGCACAUCGAUGAAGACCCUGAAAUCGCUGAAAUCUUUGCUUUACCCAAAAACUCAGCAGAACGUAAAAGUCUGCUGGCCAAAUUACGAAAAAGAGGAAACUACAAACAUAAUCAAGAGGUUCUGAGGAGUAACACAGGAGCGCUAAAAGUGGGAAGACGAUCAUCCCGCUAUGUAAUGACUGCUGAAAAUUUUGUGCACUGCAUUUAUUGUAAAGUAAUGCUUCAUAGCAAAGACCUAUAUAGGCAUGUAGCAAAGUGUGCUAAACAAACAAUAAAUGCUGCAACACAUGGCGAGACGAGCAUCUUGGGGGACGUCACCGAGUCGGAGUUCUCUGAAAAGUUUCCGUCUGAAGUUUGGGAGAUACUUUCAGUGAUGAAACAAGAUGAAAUUGUAUUUUUAAUUCAACACGACUACCUUUUCAUGAAGAUGACCCAGAGUCUUAUUGAGAACACUGAAAAUACUCCGACAAACCAAGAGCGCGUCAGACAGAAGCUGAGAAAAAUAGGAAGGCUCUUGAUAGAGCUCCAUGAUAAGGGAAUAGUGAGUUUUGAAGCAGCACUUAAACCCAGAAGCUUCUACAAAGUUGCCGCUGCUGUCAGAAACCUCGCUGGUUUUGAUGAAAAAAAGCAGAAGUACAGCAAACCGAACCUUGCCUUGUUUUUUGGAAAUGCUCUGAAAAAACUGGGAGAACUUGUUGUCACACAGAGCGACAGCAGUAAGGAGGCCGUGAGAGAUGCUAACACAUUCAUGACGCUGUGUGCGAAGGAGUGGAAGGAAAUUGUCCCUCACAAUGAUGCACCUUCAUCAAGUGAACAGAAAGUACACAGCCCCUCUACGAUACCGUUCACACGUGACAUACAGGCGUUCUACACGCACCUGGAAAAGACUUCUGCUUCUGCCACUGAGUGCUUUAAGAAGUAUGAAACCCCUCAGAUGUACAAUGCACUUUGCAGAGUCAUACUUGCACAGGUGUCAGUCUUAAACAAAUGUGCACCCGAGGUUUCAAAAAUUACCCUUAAGUCAUUCCAGGAGCGGGACGAGACUACCCAGGUGUUGUCCAAGCACUUUAUCAGGAUUAAUAUUGCAGGCAAGACUGGGCAGAACGUUGCUGUUUUGUUGACGUCUCAGCUCGUCAGCGCGUUAACGCUGCUUGUGAGCAAGAGACCAGCGUGCCGCGUACACAAAGACAAUCCUUUCUUGUUUGCAAAGCCAGACGGUUCAUCUACAAGCCUCUACCACGGAGGCCACUGCGUUCGGGUCUACACAAAAAUGUGCUCUGCAGAGAACCCAGAGCACCUCACGUCCGUACAUUUUCACAAGCACAUUGCAAGAAUUUUCCAGAUUCUUAACUUGGAGAAUGACGAGCUACCUCACCUUGCUAAACUGCUGGGUCAUGACAUCCGGAUGGACAGGGAUUAUUAUCGGCUGCCCGAAGCGGCUGUUGAACUCGCAAAAAUAGCUAAACUGCUUCUGGCAAUGGAAAAAGGCUCUCUUGAAAGAUUCAAAGGAAACUCUCUGGAUGAGAUUGAGAUUGAAGGUUUGUGUCCAGUAUUAUGCAGACAUAAACACACAUCAGCCUGUCAGUGCUCAUCAGAUUUUCUUUUAAAGAGGUGUGAAUAA
rnacentral:lncRNA from 1 species